GGCGAUCAGAUACCGCCCUAGUUCUGACCGUAAACGAUGCCAACUAGCGAUCCGCCAGUCGACUCAUCGCUCUGGUGGGGAGCUUCCCGGAAACGAAAGUCUUCCGGUUCCGGGGGAAGUAUGGUUGCAAAGCUGAAACUUAAAGGAAUUGACGGAAGGGCACCACCAGGAGUGGAGCCUGCGGCUUAAUUUGACUCAACACGGGGAAACUCACCCAGCCCGGACACCGUAAGGAUUGACAGAUUGAUAGCUUUUUCAUGAUUCGGUGGAUGGUGGUGCAUGGCCGUUCUUAGUUCGUGGAGCGAUUUGUCUGGUUUAUUCCGAUAACGAGCGAGACUCUGGCCUACUAAAUAGUUGACGCAUUGCCACUGUGCGCACAACUUCUUAGAGGGAUUUUCGGUGUUUUCAACCGCACGAAAUUGAGCAAUAACAGGUCUGUGAUGCCCUUAGAUGUCCGGGGCUGCACGCGCGCUACACUGGCAAACGCAACGUGCCUGUCCUGCCCCGAAAGGAGCGGGUAAACCCCUGAAAUUUUGCCGUGAUUGGGAUCGGACAUUGCAACUAUUGUCCGUGAACGAGGAAUUCCUUGUAGGGGCGAGUCAUCAACUCGUCCCGAAUACGUCCCUGCCCUUUGUA
rnacentral:rRNA from 1 species